rnacentral:tRNA from 1 species
UGGGGUGUCGACAAGCGGCAAGUCACCAGAUUUUGAUUCUGACAUUCGUAGGUUCGAAUCCUACCACCCCAGCCA